UACAGAGGGUGCAAGCGUUGUUCGGAAUUAUUGGGCGUAAAGCGCGUGUAGGCGGCUUUGCAAGUCCGUUGUGAAAACUCGAGGCUCAACCUCGAGACGCCGGUGGAAACUGCAAAGCUAGAGUCCGGAAGAGGAGAGUGGAAUUCCUGGUGUAGCGGUGAAAUGCGCAGAUAUCAGGAAGAACACCCGUGGCGAAGGCGGCUCUCUGGGACGGUACUGACGCUGAGACGCGAAAGCGUGGGGAGCGAACAGG
rnacentral:rRNA from 1 species